AAUUGUGGUCAGUUGAAUUCUGAAAGAUUAGAAAAAAUACAACUGGAAGCAGCACGUAUUGUCACUGGUCUAACAAGCUAUGCUAGCAGUCAAUCACUUCAUUUAGAGACGGGAAGUGAAGAAAUUAACUUUAUUUUACAAAAUUAUGAAAGAGGACGCCCCAGAAUACUGAUUAGAUUUAAUACCCCCUAAAGUUGCAGAAACGAACAACUACAAUCUAAGAAGCAGUCAAAAUAUAUACCAAACCUCUAGCAGACUGUCUCUUUAUCAGGAAUCAUUUAUUCCAUCUAGUAUCAAACUGUGGAAUUCGCUCGAUUUAAGUAUUAGAAAUGAACUUUCUUUAAAUAUGUUUAAAUUAAAAAUUAAACAGAAAUAUUUAAAAAACAAAUCACCCCUACAUAUUUCAAUAUUGGCGAUAGAUAUUUAAUUGUUUUACACGCAAGAUUAAGAAACAAAUGCAGUGCCCUGAACAUGGAUCUGUAUCACGCAAAUAUUAAAACUAACGCAAUGUGUCAAUGUGGUUAUUUAUAUGAAAAUGCUCAACAUUAUUUCCUCUCGUGUAAAAAUUAUACAGUGCAAAGGAAUAAAUUAUUUUUUGAACUUAGAAAAGAAAAUAUACCUACCGACUUUGAAAAUUUAAUGUACGGCAAUGCUUUGUUUAAUAUGAACAUAAACACGCUACUUUUUAUAAAAGUGCAGAAUUAUAUUAAAGAGACCA
rnacentral:lncRNA from 1 species